rnacentral:rRNA from 1 species
CUCAGUUCGGAUUGGAGUCUGCAACCCGACUCCAUGAAGCUGGAUUCGCUAGUAAUCGCGGAUCAGCAUGCCGCGGUGAAUACGUUCCCGGGCCUUGUACACACCGCCCGUCACACCAUGAGAGUCGGGAACACCCGAAGUCCGUAGUCUAACAGCAAUGGGGGCGCGGCCGAAGGUGGGUUCGAUAAUUGGGGUGAAGUCGUAACAAGGUAGC